AGUGAACGCUGGCGGUAGGCCUAACACAUGCAAGUCGAACGGCAGCACAGUAAGAGCUUGCUCUUACGGGUGGCGAGUGGCGGACGGGUGAGGAAUACAUCGGAAUCUACUUUUUCGUGGGGGAUAACGUAGGGAAACUUACGCUAAUACCGCAUACGACCUACGGGUGAAAGCAGGGGAUCUUCGGACCUUGCGCGAUUGAAUGAGCCGAUGUCGGAUUAGCUAGUUGGCGGGGUAAAGGCCCACCAAGGCGACGAUCCGUAGCUGGUCUGAGAGGAUGAUCAGCCACACUGGAACUGAGACACGGUCCAGACUCCUACGGGAGGCAGCAGUGGGGAAUAUUGGACAAUGGGCGCAAGCCUGCUCCAGCCAUGCCGCGUGGGUGAAGAAGGCCUUCGGGUUGUAAAGCCCUUUUGUUGGGAAAGAAAAGCAGCAGGUUAAUACCCCGCUGUUCUGACGGUACCCAAAGAAUAAGCACCGGCUAGCUUCGUG
rnacentral:rRNA from 1 species